rnacentral:rRNA from 1 species
UACGUAGGGCGCAAGCGUUGUCCGGAAUUACUGGGCGUAAAGCGUGUGUAGGCGGACGCCUAAGUGUCUUGUGAAAUCCCACGGCUCACCCGUGGAACUGCUGGGCAUACUGGGCGUCUUGGGCCAACUAGGGGCAGCCGGAACAAGCGGUGGAGCGGUGAAAUGCGUAGAUAUCGCUUGGAACGCCGAAGGUGAAAACAGGCUGCUGGGGUUGCGCCGACGCUGAGACACGAAAGCCAGGGGAGCAAACGGG